rnacentral:rRNA from 1 species
GACGAACGCUGGCGGCGUGCUUAACACAUGCAAGUCGAACGAAGUGGCGAACGGGUGAGUAAUACGUGGGUAACUGCCCUCCUUUUUGGGAUAAGCCUUGGAAACGGGGUCUAAUACCGAAUAAAGGGGGGUGGCGCGCGGCCUAUCGGCUUGUUGGUGGGGUGAUGGCCUACAAAGGCGGUGACGGGGAGCCGGCCUGAGAGGGGGACCGGGACCAUGGGUCUGGGAUACGGUGCAGACUCCUACGGGAGGAAGCAGGGGGGAAUAUUGCACAAUGGGGGAAACCCUGAUGCAGCAACGCGGGUGCGGGAGGACGGCCUUCGGGUGGUAAACCGCUGGCAGCGAUGACGCGGUAGUGGCAGAAGAAGCACCGGCUAACUCCGUGCCAGCAGCCGCGGUAAUAC